GGUGGGGUGUCGGAGCGGCUACGAAACCGCCUGCAGAGCGGUUCUACAGGGGUUCAAGUCCCCUCCCCACCU
rnacentral:tRNA from 1 species